UAGCUCAGCUGGGAGAGCAUCGCCCUUACAAGGCGAGGGUCGGGGGUUCGAACCCCUC
rnacentral:tRNA from 1 species